rnacentral:misc_RNA from 1 species
AAGACUAUAGACCUGCGGAGUACCUGCGGAAGGAUCAUUAGUGAACGCCCUCACGGGCUUAUAACUGUUCCAAACCUCUGUGAACCGUGCCCUUCGGGGCUAUUUUACAAACAUGGUGUAAUGAACGUCAUAUAUCAUAACAAAACAAAACUUUUAACAACGGAUCUCU